rnacentral:tRNA from 1 species
GCGUCUGUAGCCUAGUUGGUAAAGGCAGCACUAUAGUAUGUGUCUCAGCAUAGCUGAGGUCGUGAGUUCAAAUCUCACCAGACACA